rnacentral:lncRNA from 1 species
AAUAGAUGAAAGGCAGAAGUGGCGAUGGGUGACUGAUGUGGCACACUUAUGAAGAAAAGCCUCUUUUUCCAUGCUUGUUUUUCCUCCCCAAGGAGCCAACAGAGUUUCUAUUCUCCAACUCUGCUCUUCACCUUACCCAAGUCAUUGCAGUCACCUGGAGUCACGGAAAUGACCAUGAUUGCCUGAACUUUCAUGACUUCUGUGGAUAACUGUGGUUGCAGAAAAGAGAAAACCUGGACCGUGAGGGACAUUUCACUCCCUG